UCUGCUGUUUUGCUUAUCUGACAUUGACAGGUGUGGGUCGUAAAACUUGUACCGGACUCUGCUGACUCCGCUGUCUUGCCUGCCUGACGUUGCCAGAUGUGUGUCGUAAAGCUUACGAUGGGAAAACACCUGUGAAGGAGAAAAAAAGAAAGAAAGAAAGAAAAUCCUAUAAGAACCCCGCGUCAAUCGUCUUCGGGGCUCUUCUCCUCGACCCCUGAGUGGGAUAAGAGUUGAGCCCCAGCGCGUCGGUCCUCGAAUAAAGCCUCCUGGGUUUUGCAUCAAGUGACAACUCUCGCGAUUGCUUGGGGUGAGCGCCGGUACCCAGCUGACAGCGGUAGGGUCUCCUUUUGGGGUCCUUACAUUUAGGGGCUCGUCGGGGAUCUGCGACCACCCCUCAAUCUCGAAGUUGCCCUUGGAGGAUCCUAGCGGCAAAAGUUACCGCUGCCUGAGAAACCAGAAGUAUUGGAGCUCUUCAGUAACAGUUCUGGCGUCCCCUCCCUCUCUUUGUUUCUGCACCUACUUGGGUGUGAUAUGCCUCAUUGUCUCCUCCCAGCCUCGGGGGCUAAGAGCAACAGGCACUCCCAGGGAUGGCUAGGUUUUGGGAGCUGGGAAGGCACUCUUGUCUUUUCUGCCACCCUGAAAAUGGCGCCAGUAAUCUGUAAAAGUCACCUGUUAGAACCUCCGGAGGUGUGGGUCGUAAAACUUGUACCGGACUCUGCUGACUCCGCUGUCUUGCCUGCCUGACGUUGCCAGAUGUGUGUCGUAAAACUUACGAUGGGAAAACACCCGUGAAGGAGAAAAAAAGAAAGAAAGAAAGAAACCCUAUAAGGACCCCGCGUCAAUCGUCUUCGGGGCUCUUCUCCUCGACCCCUGAGUGGGAUAAGAGUUGAGCCCCAGCGCGUCAGUCCUCGAAUAAAGCCUCCUGGGUUUUGCAUCAAGUGACGACUCUCGCGAUUGCUUGGGGUGAGCGCCGGUACCCAGCUGACAGCGGUAGGGUCUCCUUUUGGGGUCCUUACAUUAUAUGUGGAUUUUUCAAUAAAUACAAUAUAAUAAAUGUAUUCUAUCUUGCGAUAUUCUUAAUAACAUGUUCUCUUCUCUAGCUGACUUCAUUAUAUGAAUACAGGAUAGAAUACACAUUAUAUACAAAAUAUGUGUUAAUUGACUAUGUUAUCAGUAAGACUUCUGGUCAACAGAAGUCUUCUAGCAGUCACCCUUCUGGGGGGUCAUCAGUGAGGAUUUUAGACUGUGUGGGGGAUCGAGGCCCCUAACCCCUGCAUGGUUCAGGCAUCAACUGUACUAUUUGACUGUAUACAUAAGUUCAUGCUACUUACCUAAUUUUUGAUUGAUAAAUACAAAAGCAUUGCAUUCCCA